UUUUCCCAUCCAGCGCCAUGCACCUGAACAUUCAGGUUAACGAGGAAAAGGGUUAUCGAAAAUUCGGCGGACGCCCUUUCGUAGAUUCCGCUGCGAGAUAUACCGGCAAAUAUGCGGGUAACUGCAAAACAAAUACGGUAUAACGGAAGAAU
rnacentral:ncRNA from 2 species